UGCACAAAUUCAGCAACAGCAAGCAAAUAGUAAUUCCUCCACCAACACAUCACAGGUGAGGGAUUUGUCUGUCUUAUGAUUAUCCCUCAUUGUUUCCCACCAGAGUUCAUCUCUAAUUACCAACUGUUGUCAUAGAACCUUGCAUCUAACCAGCAGAAAAGUGGCUUUCGCCUGAAUAUACAGGGUUUAGAAAGAACACUACAGGGUUUUGUUUCUAAGACUUUGGAUUCUGCUAGUGCACAGUUUGCUGCUUCUGCUUUGGUGACAUCAGAACAACUGAUGGGAUUCAAGAUGAAGGAUGAUGUGGUGCUUGGAAUCGGGGUGAAUGGCGUCCUUCCAGCCUCAGGAGUAUACAAGGGCUUACACCUCAGUAGUACUACACCAACAGCACUUGUACAUACAAGUCCAUCAACGGCAGGUUCAGCUUUGUUACAGCCUUCAAAUAUUACACAGACUUCAAGUUCCCACAGUGCACUGAGUCAUCAAGUAACUGCUGCCAAUUCUGCAACAACUCAGGUUCUGAUUGGGAACAACAUUCGAUUAACUGUAC
rnacentral:ncRNA from 2 species